GAGUGUUACUCUGUCAGCUGCUCAAUAACCUGCUGCCUCAGUCUGUCAACCUGCGCCAGAUUAACCUACGACCCCAGAUGUCUCAGUUCUUGUGUCUGAAGAACAUCAGGACGUUCCUGUGUGCCUGUCAGGAGAAAUUUUGGCAUGAGGAAGAACGAGCUUUUCGAGGCCUUCGAGCUGUUUGAUGUCAGAGACUUCGCGAAGGUGAUCGACACACUGUCCAUCCUGUCCCAAACACCACUGGCCCUGCAGAGCGGAUUCCGGUAACACACACACACACACACACACACUCAG